rnacentral:misc_RNA from 1 species
GGAAGGAUCAUUAACACGUUUCCAACGUCCAACAAACCUAGUGAACAUUGAACGUAUAGUCAGUUCUAAGUGUAAGGAGUGAGAUAUGAAAUCCAAGGUUUGUCCUUGCGUUCUCCGCUUCACUUGGUUCUGAACAGUGUCGGGCCUGUAUUGGGUUGAUGUCCCGAAAAGGUUGACUCUGGUUGACUCUAGUAGGUUCUUCUUCCCUUACACCUGCCUGUAACCAAACCAUUUUCUUAUUAUUCUUUACUGUCUUAGGGGUCGUGCUAGCUUCGGUUAGUAUUGAUUCUUAUUACAAACAUUGUACAACUCUUAGCAACGGAUAUCUUGGUUUCCGCAUCGAUGACGAACGCAGCAAACUGCGAUUACUCUCGCGAAUUGCAGAGCUCAGUGAAUCAUCAAACCUUCGAACGCAACUUGCGCCAUACAGCCCUCACGGGUACGUAUGUGCACGUCCCAUUCAGUGACAUUAAUGUAUCUCAAAACUUAGAAUAGCUUGCUAUUCUGAGGCUUUGGUUAGACUUUGAGUGUUCACGCUAAUACUUGGUGGGACCUUUGGGUCUUGCUUGGAUCUUGUGUGUCACUUUAAAUACAUAAUGGCCGUAUGAUGUUAGAGAUGAAGUGGAGUUCCCGAUCUUUCGGACUCAUUAAACCUUUGUUUCGGCAUUGCAUUGUCCAAUGCUACGCCGCUGACUUAACACUCCGAAAGGAGGGGGUUGCGAGUUCUUUUAGCUCAGCGCUAAUUCCAGCGUACUUUUCGUUCGCGAAAGGGUCUUGAGUGUAAGUGACAGGAAUGAAACUGUAAUCGAACCUAGUAUCUUAGCCAGAAAAUUCCUCUAUGAAACCUAGUUUCAUAAAACCCUCAUUUACGAUCUGAAUUGGGAUGAGAAGACCCACUAAAUUUAAGCAUAUUAUUCAGUGGAGGAAAAGAAACUAACAAGGAUUCCCCUAGUAACGGCGAGUGAAGCGGGAAAAGCUCAAUUUUAAAAUCCUUAGGUCACAUGGCCUUGGGAGUUGUAAUCUGAAGACGCAUGUUCAGCGUGUGACCCGGGUAUAACUCCUUUGGAAAAGGGGAUCAUAGAGGGUGAUAAUCCCGUCUUUGACCUGGAGUUCGCCGCGUACGAUAUGUGUUCUACGAGUCGAGUUGUUUGGGAUUGCAGCUCUAAAUGGGUGGUAAACUUCAUCUAAAGCUAAAUAUUGGCGGAAGACCGAUAGCGAACAAGUAGCGUGAGCGAAAGAUGAAAAGAACUUUGAAAAGAGAGUUAAAAAGUACUUGAAAUUGCUAAGAGGUAAGUUAUGGGAACCAGUCUUUCCUGGGGCUAUAUUUUGCUCUUGUGUGAGUGAGACGUCUUGGUGUGGAGCUCUUUUGGGGCCAGCAUCUUGCGUUGAUCUUAGGCACGGGUGUCCUGUAGUCUUGGGCGUGUCAAAAUCAGUUUGACUUGUUGGAGAAAGCCAAGAGGAAGGUUGGGAAUUGUAGGGUUCGCUUUGCUCUUCUCGUUAUAGCCUUUUGGUUGAUACAAUGGGUUAGACUGAGGAAAAGGUAAGCCUCCCCUUCAUUGGGAUUGGUACUCAGACCUGCCUUGUUAGCUGGCUUGGACAACAAAGUUGUGCUGUCGGCGAAGCGGGGUACUGUUUGGGGUUCGCCAUUCGAGUGCUUAGCGAUUUUGACGAAAUGGUUUUCAUUGACCCGUCUUGAAACACGGACCAAGGAGUCUAACAUAUAUGCGAGUAUUUGGGUGCCAAACCCUGAUGCGUAAUGAAAGUAAAGGAGGACUUGUGCCUCUGAGGUAGGAACCGCUCCUUCGGGGGUGGGGCACUAUCGACCGAUCGAUCACUUGUGGUAGAUUUGAGUUUGAGCAUAUCUGUUGGGACCCGAAAGAUGGUGAUCUAUGCCUGGGCAGGAUGAAGUCAGGGGAAACUCUGAUGGAAGUCCGCAGCGGUACUGACGUGCAAAUCGUUCGUCUGAUCUGGGUAUAGGGGCGAAAGACUAAUCGAACCAUCUAGUAGCUGGUUCCCUC